CGUGGCGCAAAGAGGCCUCGAGCAUAGGGAAGACCAAAACAUAUCUUUGUCGCUGCGUAUUUGUGAGGACUGUGAGGCUGGAGAGAUGUGCUUUGUACUUCCAGACCCUAUUCUCACCUGGUUUGUGGAGCACUAACUAGAUUCAGCACAACAAACUUCAGCACAACAAAAAUGGUGAUGCUGAUAUGUACAACCCAUGACCUAAUGGAGGAAGGAGAAGAAUAUUAAAAACAGCUACGACGUCAGCAGACAGGCACAUCUCUCCAUGUUGUAGUGCAUGUCUUGCAGAAAUAUGCAGGAACAACUUAAGUUCACCUCCAUAGGUGAACACCUCUAGCCAGCGAUAUGCCUCAGUAUGGAAUGCAGCAGAGCUAAGUCAAUGCCUUAAUUACAGUAAAACAAAGGACACUCCUCUUCACCUAUCUGCCUCCGCUGGUUGCAUGUACUCAUGUCUAUAAAUCAAGACUUGCUUUCAUUUAAGAAAUACACAGCAUAGUUAAGACUAAUGGUAAAUAAAGGUCAUUAAACUAGAUUGACUGGACAUUUAUGUCAAGCUAAGGGAUUUGCCGACUGAGGUGGGAGUCUGCAGUUAGAACCUCAGCACUAAACACACAUAGCUGUUUACCUUGCUGGUGCCCUUGGAUCUGCGAUAUCCCCUGGAGAGCUUUAGAAAGAACCAACAAACAUCUAAGAACUAUUGAGUCAAGUCUUACCUUCCUUGGUUUCACUGCAAUCAUACUGGGACCUCCAGAGAUGCCAGUUAGAACCUUUGUUGGCCAUUGAUCAAAGGAGCAACUGUGCUGAAUCGAAACCUAGGAUGUCUUUUCCUUGGGAUAUGUGUGAGUCAUACUGACAAUGCCUAGAGAGUUUUAAAUAACCUCAUUAAACCUCGUUUCACCUUCUUUGCUACCAGUUAUUGCUGCUAACUGCCACUUCCAUGGAUGUUUAUAGCCUCUCUGCACAGUACAAAACAUUUAAUGUGAAAGAAAUAACAUGCAGGCAAAUGACCCUGCAACCACUCCAAAAGGGAAAGACUUCAGGACCUCCUCGUGCCUGAGGAAGAAGCAAGAAUGGGUAUAUCUGAUAUUUUUCCCUCUCACAAAGCAGCUCAGGCCCUGUAUUGCUCUGUACUUUUGGAUGUAAUACACUUGUGUCACAUUGCUCUCAUGUGUGACUGUCUUCAGAUCUGAAAUCAUCUCUUCCUCCAGGUGGAACAUGCUUUUCUCCGUAGAAAGAUCUCAGUAUAGGGGCAGAAACUGACUGAAUCAUGGUCUGUAUUGCAUUUUCUUCUCCUUGGUCUGAGAGAAAUUGGACAGAAAUGAGUGUUAUGUUCCAACAGUCUCUCUUUAUGUUCAUUGUCCUGGGAUAUGAUGUGGGCAAAGUAACAUUCUGAUCUG
ensembl:lncRNA